CACGUAGGGGGCGAGCGUUGUCCGGAUUUAUUGGGCGUAAAGAGCUCGUAGGCGGCUCAGUAAGUCGGGUGUGAAAACUCCAGGCUCAACCUGGAGACGCCACCCGAUACUGCUGUGGCUAGAGUCCGGUAGGGGAGCAUGGAAUUCCUGGUGUAGCGGUGAAAUGCGUAGAUAUCGGGAGGAACACCGGUGGCGAAGGCGGCCUUCUGGACGGAUACUGACGCUGAGACGCGAAAGCGUGGGGAGCAAACAGG
rnacentral:rRNA from 1 species